UACGGAGGGGGCUAGCGUUGUUCGGAAUUACUGGGCGUAAAGCGCGCGUAGGCGGCGAUUUAAGUCAGAGGUGAAAGCCCGGUGCUCAACAUCGGAAAUGCCUUUGAGACUGGGUUGCUAGAAUCCGGGAGAGGUGAGUGGAAUUCCGAGUGUAGAGGUGAAAUUCGUAGAUAUUCGGAAGAACACCAGUGGCGAAGGCGGCUCACUGGACCGGUAUUGACGCUGAGGUGCGAAAGCGUGGGGAGCAAACAGG
rnacentral:rRNA from 1 species